rnacentral:rRNA from 1 species
AGGGAAACCGAGUCUUAACUGGGCGUUAAGUUGCAGGGUAUAGACCCGAAACCCGGUGAUCUAGCCAUGGGCAGGUUGAAGGUUGGGUAACACUAACUGGAGGACCGAACCGACUAAUGUUGAAAAAUUAGCGGAUGACUUGUGGCUGGGGGUGAAAGGCCAAUCAAACCGGGAGAUAGCUGGUUCUCCCCGAAAGCUAUUUAGGUAGCGCCUCGUGAACUCAUCUUCGGGGGUAGAGCACUGUUUCGGCUAGGGGGUCAUCCCGACUUACCAACCCGAUGCAAACUGCGAAUACCGAAGAAUGUUAUCACGGGAGACACACGGCGGGUGCUAACGUCCGUCGUGAAGAGGGAAACAACCCAGACCGCCAGCUAAGGUCCCAAAGUCACAGUUAAGUGGGAAACGAUGUGGGAAGGCUCAGACAGCCAGGAUGUUGGCUUAGAAGCAGCCAUCAUUUAAAGAAAGCGUAAUAGCUCACUGGUCGAGUCGGCCUGCGCGGAAGAUGUAACGGGGCUAAACUGUGCACCGAAGCUGCGGCAGCGACGCUUAUGCGUUGUUGGGUAGGGGAGCGUUCUGUAAGCCUGCGAAGGUGUCCUGUGAGGGAUGCUGGAGGUAUCAGAAGUGCGAAUGCUGACAUAAGUAACGAUAAUGCGGGUGAAAAGCCCGCUCGCCGGAAGACCAAGGGUUCCUGUCCAACGUUAAUCGGGGCAGGGUGAGUCGACCCCUAAGGCGAGGCCGAAAGGCGUAGUCGAUGGGAAACGGGUUAAUAUUCCCGUACUUGGUGUUACUGCGAAGGGGGGACGGAGAAGGCUAUGUUGGCCGGGCGACGGUUGUCCCGGUUUAAGCGUGUAGGCUGGUUUUCCAGGCAAAUCCGGAAAAUCAAGGCUGAGGCGUGAUGACGAGGCACUACGGUGCUGAAGCAACAAAUGCCCUGCUUCCAGGAAAAGCCUCUAAGCAUCAGGUAACAUCAAAUCGUACCCCAAACCGACACAGGUGGUCAGGUAGAGAAUACCAAGGCGCUUGAGAGAACUCGGG